UUAUGGCUCAGGAUGAACGCUGGCGGCGUGCCUAACACAUGCAAGUCGAACGAAGCAAGAGAGCUUGCUCUCUUGACUUAGUGGCGGACGGGUGAGUAACGCGUGAGUAACCUGCCCUUCAGAGGGGGACAACAGUUGGAAACGACUGCUAAUACCGCAUAAGACCACGCUACCGCAUGGUAGAGAGGUCAAAGGAGCAAUCCGCUGAAGGAUGGACUCGCGUCCGAUUAGAUAGUUGGUGAGGUAACGGCCCACCAAGUCGACGAUCGGUAGCCGGACUGAGAGGUUGAACGGCCACAUUGGGACUGAGACACGGCCCAGACUCCUACGGGAGGCAGCAGUGAGGGAUAUUGCACAAUGGGCGCAAGCCUGAUGCCAGCAACGCCGCGUGAAGGAUGAAGGUUUUCGGAUUGUAAACUUCUUUUCUCAUUGACGAAAUCUGACGGUAAAUGAGGAAUAAGCCACGGCUAACUACGUGCCAGCCGCAGC
rnacentral:rRNA from 1 species